rnacentral:rRNA from 1 species
GGGUCAGUAGGUUGGUCGUGCCACCGGUACGUACUGGUCUCACUGAUUCCUCCUUCCUGAAGAACCGUAAUGCCAUUAAUUUGGUGUUGCGGGGAAACAGGACUGUUACUUUGAAAAAAUUAGAGUGUUUAAAGCAAGCUAACGCUUGAAUACAUUAGCAUGGAAUAAUGAAAUAGGACGAUCGAUCCUAUUUUGUUGGUUUCUAGGAUUGACGUC